rnacentral:rRNA from 1 species
GUUCACCUCGGGGCGCAGCAGUGGGGAAUAUUGCACAAUGGGGGAAACCCUGAUGCAGCAACGCCGCGUGAAGGAAGACGGUUUUCGGAUUGUAAACUUCUGUUCUUAGUGAAGAAAAAUGACGGUAGCUAAGGAGCAAGCCACGGCUAACUACGUGCCAGCAGCCGCGGUAAUACGUAGGUGGCAAGCGUUGUCCGGAAUUACUGGGUGUAAAGGGAGCGCAGGCGGGAAGCCAAGUCAGCUGUGAAAACUACGGGCUUAACUUGUAGACUGCAGUUGGAACUGGUUUUCUUGAGUGAAGUAGG